rnacentral:tRNA from 1 species
UAAAAGCUUAGGUUAAAAUAAACCCGGGGCCUUCAAAGCCCCAAACAAGGACUCAACCCCCUUAGCUUUUG